CGGAAAACAAGGGAGGGGGGCCGCAGGGGAGGGGGAGGCUGCAGGAACCCCCGAAGGCGAUCCCGAGGCGGUCGGCGCGGACCUCGAGCAGAAGCCUCCUCCCCGCACCUACACCAUAAUCCCGGCCGGGGCUCCGCAAAGGGGGCAGCGCCGCGACCCGAGGCUCCGGCAGCCGCCAGCCCUGCCCGCCGGCGGCACAACAAUACCCGCACACGCGAGGCGGAGGCACCGGCCGCCCCACCAGCCCCGCUACUGCGCGCUCCCCGCUCGCCCAGCGGCCACCCGGGCACCUUCCAGCAGCGGCAGCGGCGGCCGCCGCCCGUCCCGCGCCUCCUCCUCCUCCUCCUCCGCCGCCGAGGCCGAGGAGCCGGCGCGGCGACCCCCGCGCAUGGGGCGGGGGGGCGACGGCAGCGGAGCCGAGCGGGCCGCGCGGCUCUCGGCGGGCUCCGGCUGGGCGGCCGCCGCCCUGGCGAUGGGCAGAGCCGCCGCCUCCCUCCCGCCGGCCGCCCCCCGCCACCCCCCACCACCCCCCCCCCCCUCACCCCCCCCGCCGGCCGCCCCCCGCCACCCCCCACCACCCCCCCCCCCCUCACCCCCCCCGCCGGCCGCCCCCCGCCCGCGUCCCUCCCUCCCGCCCGGCCGCCUCCCUGCCUGCCUCCUGCUCUCCUCCCUCGCUCGCUGCGCGCAGCCCAACCCGCCUCUCGCCGCCGCUCCGCCGCUCGUGCAGGAAAUGCGCAAAAGACGUCAGUGUGCGAGCGAGUGUGUGUGCGUGCGUGUGCGGGGAGCGCGGGCGGCGGGAGCGCGAGGGCGUGCGGAAACUUCGGCGGUGGCAAGCGGCGCCCGGGCCGCUUUCCUCACCGCUCUCCGGCCCUCCCGGCUGCCUUUCACCGAUUCGUGUCGUAUUUUAUUUCUUAUUCUUUGUUACACUUAUUAUCGCUGUUGUUAUUCCCUCCUCUGUCCUCCUCCUCCUCCUCCCGGGAUAAGAGUGGCGUGCAAAAAAACCAUCCCCGAUCGCCUUCCUCCCGGGCUUUAAAUAGCCCCUCCGGUUCUACUCCUGCACUCCUCGGGCCGCCGCACGCCCGCUCCCACCCGGGCGAGGAACAGCUCGCCCCGAAGCCCGGAUCGCUAGCUCCUCCCCACUACAGCGUCGCCCCCCGGGGCCCUUUAGCCGCGACCCGGUCCCGCGAAGAACCGCGGCCGUGGAGCACCGCCGCCGCCUGUCAGCGACGAACCCCGGCUCGCGCGCCCCGCGCCGCCCCCGCCCGCCGGGCCGCCGCGGCAGAGGCACGGUUACGUCAGCGGGGGCCGGGCCGGAGGAAGAGUUUCCCCGCGGUGUGCGAGCGCCGGGAAGUGCCGUGCACGGCCGGGGGAAGCGGCCCUUCGCUGCCCGACUGGAGGAACACGGCUGCGGCCCGGCCUGGCCGCUGUUCGCGACGCCCCCAGCCCCUCUGCUGCCCCGGCCCCAGCUCGGCCCGGCCUCUCCCGGCGCUAAGGGGAAGCGCCGCGGGGAGUAAUCGCGGCUGUGCUGGAAAGAUACUGAAAGGGGAAAUAAAUCUCCUAAAAGGGUGUGCUUGCUAUACUAGCGAUUUGAUUUUGGUCGUUUUCGUCGCCGUGGUGCUGACUGCCGUGUUAAACAACCAGGAAACUUUGCACAGAAUCUCCCCCCCAGAACAAUUUUGA
rnacentral:lncRNA from 1 species